CUUACCUGGCAACUGUAGCAUCUGAUCAUGCUCCCAUCCUUCAGAAGGAGCUCUUACCUGAAUAUUGAACUCUGUCCACUUCCUUUUCCUGCCACAUCAGUUCCUGUCUUGUCAUUUCCUGUUACCAUGUAUUUAAGCCAUGUGUUUCCACUACCAUUUUGUGAAGUAUGCCAGUUCCUCUGCUUUACUUAUUGUUCUUCCAUGCCAUUUGUAUUGUUUAUAGUUAUGACCAUUGCUUUUGUUCUCCUGACUCCUGUUUCUGGAUGACUGUUUUGGAUUUGUCUGCAAUUGGCUUGUUUUCUCCAUAUUUUAACUCAAGCCAGUGACCUGACUUGGAGCUAUGAUUGUUAUUAGUACUUGGAGCACAGAUCAUUGGGCAGCUGUGGCCUAAUGGUUAGAGAGCCGGACUAGUUACCAGAAGGUCGCCGGUUUGAGUCUCGGUGCUGGCAGGAGUUGUAAGUGGGAGGGAGUUAAUGAACAGCGCUCUCUUCCACCCUCAAUACCCAUGGCUGAAGUGCCCUUGAGCAAGGCACUGAACCCCCAGUUGCUCCCCGGUGCUGGAUCUAUAGCUGCCCACUGCUCCGGGUGUGUGUUCACAGUGUGUUCACUUCUCACUGCUGUGUGUGUGCACUUAGAUGGGUUAAAUGCAGAGCAUCAAUUCUGAGUAUGGGUAACCAUACUUGGCAAAUGUCAUGACUUUCACUUUUUUUUUCUUCAUUGAAUAAAGACCCGCAUAUGGAAUUUAUUAGGCCUACCUAUUUCUCACAUUCUUUUAAACAUUUCCUUGUUUGUACAUUCUGUACUCAUUAAAGUCUGAUAAGAUUGUUUAGAUGUUAUAAUUUUGACUGAUAGCUUGAUGAUUUUCACAGCGUUAAGACAGGAAGUGGAAACACGUUGUGGUUUAAUGUCUCUGCACUGAAAGGCAAUCUGCAGUUUGAUCGAUGCUUUUACAGACGAAAGACAAUGGAGAAGAUCAUGCUCUUUUGUGUUUUUUCAUACAGGAUUAUUCAGAUCAGCUCCAGCGAUGCUUCAGAACAUAAUGUGACUCUGUUAAGAUUCCGGCUGAAUGAAAACAUCACUCUGAACUGCAGCAUAAAUGACCAAUUCACCUACAGAUUUGAAAUGGCCUGGUAUCACCAGAAUCCUGAAUCUGGACGAUUAACACUGCUGCUGUCUGCCAGGAACUGGCCAUCACUGCACAUUGAAUACUCUCAAAACAAUCGCAUGAGAGUUCAUGGAGAUGUGGAGAGCAACACAGCCUCACUAGAUAUUAUUGGACUAACGGAGUCAGAUUCAGGUCUUUAUUUCUGUGCAAUAGUGCAUUCAAUCUUGUACUUCGACAAACCCAUCAGACUAGUGAUGGAGGACAAGCUGACAGACAGAGAAGACAAAGUUCAGUCCGUUACAGAUCCUUCAGUGGAUGAUAAGAUCCCAGAUGCUUCAGAACAUAAUGUGACUCUGUUAAGAUUUCAGCUGAAUGAAACCAUCACUCUGAACUGCAACAUGACCCACACAUACGAAAUAGCCUGGUAUCACCAGAAUCCUGAAUCUGGACGACUAACACUGCUGAUAUUUGCUAUAGGCAGGAGAAAAGAGAUAUAUUUAAUCAAUCAAAACACUCGCGUAACAGUUAAAGCAGAUAUAAGGAGCAACACAGUCUCGCUAGUUAUUACUGGACUAAUGGAGUCAGAUUCAGGUCUUUAUUUCUGUGGAACAAGAUCAGCGACUUCAGAAAUGCACUUUCGGAAACCCAUCAGACUACAGAUCGAGGGUUAGUACUGCCGACUUCUCAAUUUCUCUCAAACUUUCAUACUGUUUUUAAUGCUGAGAAUUAUUUAACUGUUGCUCAAUUUAUUUCAAUCAUCACUAGAACUACACUCAUAAAAAUAAAGUUUCCAAAAAGGCAGUUUUUUUUCUCA
ensembl:lncRNA